GCGUGGGUCGGCCCGCUGAACUGGUUCCAGUGGGCUGGGGGACACCGCCGCCUUCAUCCCCGCGGGCGGCGGACCGGUCCGGGAGGUGAACACCACCUCCCGGACCGUG
rnacentral:ncRNA from 1 species